rnacentral:rRNA from 1 species
ACGGAGGGUGCAAGCGUUAUCCGGAUUUACUGGGUUUAAAGGGUGCGUAGGUGGGUUGGUAAGUCAGUGGUGAAAUCUUCGAGCUUAACUCGGAAACUGCCAUUGAUACUAUCAAUCUUGAAUUAUCUGGAGGUAAGCGGAAUAUGUCAUGUAGCGGUGAAAUGCUUAGAUAUGACAUAGAACACCCAUUGCGAAGGCAGCUUACUACGGAUAUAUUGACACUGAGGCACGAAAGCGUGGGGAUCAAACAGGA